rnacentral:misc_RNA from 1 species
UGUGGGAGCGAGCCUGCUCGCGAUGGCGUCGUGUCAGCAGUCUUCAAACUGACUGACACCCCCUCAUCGCGAGCAGGCUCGCUCCCACA